UGCAUACAUUCGUAAUAAACGUCACCGUCAAGUUUAUCCUCAACUUGAUUGGAAGCACACGCCAGAUCAAAAGGUUGGGAUUUGUCAUGGCCAACCAGAUCAUCGUUAAACCAUCACCACCCAGCGACAAACAUGUUUUGGUUCGUGGGGAAUGCACUGAAUUUCAUUUUGGUUGUUGACGCGAUGACAUUAAAAACAAACACACACACACACACACACACGACAACGAGUAAAUUCUCUUUCUCUCUUCUGCAUUCAUUCUUAACUCUGUCCAUGUAUGUAGAUUUAUUAGGAGCCGAUGUGCAAGAUGUGAGAGCAGGUGCCCAUUCUCUGCCAACAUGUGCGAGAUGUGAGAGCAGCCGCCCAAUUGUUUCCCAAUCGAGGUAGACAACUGGGCAACGAACGCCAGUUGGUAACAAAAAAAAGGCAAGGCAGGCAUCGGAAUGGAGUGGGGCAUAUGCAAAGCUGCCGCCCGAGGCACCACUGACGAAAUGCCUCGUCGCGACCAUUAAAAGGAGCGACAGCGCAGCGUUGCUGUAUCUCUAGAUGUCUGUUUGUUUCGUCGAUUGUGGCGGCGUUCUGAGGAGCCGGUGGGUCUGUACCCAGAUAUUCAUUCGGUGUCAAGGACGAGCUGCACAGCUCCGUGAUCUGCCAGAAGGCGUGAGAAUUCUAUGCAAUGGGGACAUCGAAGGGCGUUGUGCACAAUUCGGCGAGAGGGCUUUGAGCUGCGUCAUUUUUCUUCUCAAUCCGUGUCCUGGUGACCUUGACGCUGGAGUGUUUUGCUUGCUUGGUUGAAGCGCUGACUGCCGCUGUCGCUUGCCUUUCUGAUGCCGCUGGCGCGCACGCGCAGGAGCUUUGUGACGCACCCCAGAAUUGCCUUGUUUCUCAUUCAAUCCUUUUGUGCGGAGCCCUGGUUUUUGUAAUCCUCAUUGUUUCUUCUUCAUACAAAUAAUGUUCAUAACUUUAUAUAUGUGUUUCUUCGAGCACUUGACUUUAGAUUCGUUAUUACUUGUAAGAAAAACUUCACUGAAUCUUAUCAAAAUGACAUAUUCUUAGAUAUAUAAUGUAUACUUGUUAAUGCAACAAAUGCACUGGUUAAUUUAGGACAUGUCUUCAUUGAGAUUUAGAUGGGUUCCUUGUAGUUUUUCACUGAAUCUUAUCAAAAUGACAUAUUCUUAGAUAUAUAAUGUAUACUUGUUAAUGCAACAAAUGCACUGGUUAAUUUAGGACAUGUCUUCAUUGAGAUUUAGAUGGGUUCCUUGUAGUUUUCUAAUUUAUAACUUUACUGAGACUUUACUGGUCACGUUUAUUGAACUUCAUGUCAAAUUUUAUGCUCUCAUUUGGUAUACGAUCACAUAUGCAUGAUGUAGAUUGUAAAGCAAACUAUCAUAUUUUGAUUAGGUUACAUAUAAUGAAAUGUGCAUACUUGUGCGUGUGUCUGAGGAUUGUGUAAUUGUUUAAAGUUGAACUGCAUCGUCUGAUCACAUUUUCUUUGUAACUAUGAGCACACGUGAUAAAAUUAAUUGUUGAAGCGACUGCCAAGUGGUUGAGGUACUAAAAAUGUGAUCAGACUACUUUAGAACCAUCAUUUUAAGUAUUAACGAUGACAUUUCACAGUAAAAAUCAAUGUCUUGACAAAAACGAUUUGAGAAUUUUCAAUCAUUGACAUAUUCUUUUAAACCUUUUACUGAAAUCUAUAACAAUAAUAAUAAGAGGAAAACCCCCAGUAACAAACCAAAAUUUCAGUGGCAACUUCAUCCCAUUCAGGAAGGCAGUGCUUCCCACUCCCAACUCCUGGCCCACAACCGGACCUUAGAUUCACCAUGUGCUUUUCAAGCUCUCAAGUAGAAAAGCCCUACAAUUAAGGUGCUUAAGAGUCGACGAAGAACGUCCAAAGGGGCUGUUCCGAAUCUGGGCAAUCCUCAACUGCUCAAUGUUAGCUGCCAUAGUGCAAAGGGAAUGAAUGCGGAGAUGCCGCCCCAGGAUAACGCGUAAUCCAGCCAUGUCAACGCCGCGGCGUGGUGGUUAUAGCGGGUUUCACUCCAUGGCGUGACCCAAUUUCCGAUGACAGAAAUCGGUACCCCAGGUGGGUGAGUUGGGUGGGUGCUACGAUCAAGGCUGAGAUAUGCCUUCUUCUUCAUCCGCCUUUCAUGGAUUGGCUGCUCUUCCUCCGAUCACAAACAAAUUGGUAGCAGUCAUCGCCGAUCGACUGACACAACGCGUUUUCGUGGACUGUCGGUGAUUGGCGCUGGCAUUCAUGGAAAGGGACGAUUUCCUUCUGCGAGCAUUGGAACUUCUGUGAGCCUUUGCAGGAGUUGUGGGAUUAAUUAGUUGGUGGUUAGGGGAUUUAAGGUUUUGUAGAUUAAUUACUCCAGAAGUAGAACAGAAUAAACCCUAAUUUUUGUCUCCAUUAAAAAAUCAGUAGGUCUGUUUAGGGAUUUAGAGAAAGAAAAAGAAAGUGUGUGUUGGUGAUGACCUCUCAAAAUGAGAUCUUCUCAUAUGACUUGAAUUGGGUCUUUUAUUUUAUUUUAUUCAUCCCAAAUUUAGCCAUAAUCUUUAGUGGUUGAAUUCUAUUUG